GAUGAACGCUGGCGGCGUGCCUAAUACAUGCAAGUCGAGCGAACAGACGAGAGUGCUUGCACUCUCUGACGUUAGCGGCGGACGGGUGAGUAACACGUGGGUAACCUACCUAUAAGACUGGGAGAACUUCGGGAAACCGGAGCUAAUACCGGAUAAUAUUUAGCUUCGCAUGAAGCAAUAGUGAAAGACGGUUCUGCUGUCACUUAUAGAUGGACCCGCGGUGUAUUAGCUAGUUGGUGAGGUAACGGCUCACCAAGGCAACGAUACAUAGCCGACCUGAGAGGGUGAUCGGCCACACUGGGACUGAGACACGGCCCAGACUCCUACGGGAGGCAGCAGUAGGGAAUCUUCCGCAAUGGACGAAAGUCUGACGGAGCAAUGCCGCGUGAGUGAAGAAGGUUUUCGGAUCGUAAAACUCUGUUGUAAGGGAAGAACAAGUACGUUAGUAACUGAACGUACCUUGACGGUACCUUACCAGAAAGCCACGGCUAACUACGUG
rnacentral:rRNA from 1 species